rnacentral:lncRNA from 1 species
CCGGUCUCACCGCACCCUGAUCCUGCCCUGGCGUUGUCUGCUGGUCCGUCCCUCAGACCCUCCUUUUUAAGUGUUUGGAAGAACCGGAAGCGAGACUCGAGUUAGACUCCGAAAGCAGAGGUUUAUUGAAAGCCAGGGAACGCUCAGGGCACCCGGGCCGGCGUCAAGGAAGGAAGGGAAGGCUCGGGGGCGAGUGCUCAGCGAUCCCUGGUUUGCCGUCCGUCCGUCCGUCCGUCCGUCGUAUGGGGCCGUCUUAGCCCUGUGGGGAGUGUGAUGAGCAGCUCUCCUUUACGCAUUUGGGGUUUGUGCACGUUUUUUGUGAUAUUGCUGUUCUUCAGCAGGUUUAUGAGAUGCAAUCUCCGCGUCUGAGGUCCGGUCUCUGGGGCCUCCUGCGUGCUCUCUAGUGCCCGCUGCAUCUGUGUUCCGCUUCUGGGGACCUUCUCUCUUUGGUACCUGCUUUCUGCUCUCCAGCCGCAGCAGCAGCAGCGGCGGCUCUCCACCACAGAGGCCGGAGUUACUGGCUCAGAGUGAAACCAGGCCGGCGGGCGUGUCGCGUCUCAGCUGGCUAUCUCUGUCUUUGUCUGGCCCCCUGUCUCAGCUCCGGGGUCUGCGGAUCUGUGACACCGCUCAGGGGCUCACACAGCGUAGGGGAGGGGCCCCAGGGGGACGCGGAGGCACCAGCGCCCCCUUCUGGCCGACGAGGAGCCCGCUCCUCUCCUGGGACGACCGAGGCCGAGCAGCUGACUGCGCGUCUCCCCAGGGCUCCCUAGUUUUAGGGCUUCAUUGUAUUUGUUCAUGCUUCAUUUCUAUUCUAAGAUAACCUCACAUGCGCCUAAAAAUAGCAAAAAAAAAAAAAAUAGUAUAAAGAAUUCAUGCCCUCUACUCAGAAUCUACAAAGAAUAUUUCGCCAUGUUUCCUUUUUCAUUAGUUCCCUAUACACUUACUGCUUUUUUCCAUUUAGGAGUAGGUUGGACACAUUGUUAACUCUUUACCAUCGAAUACUUCAGAGUUUCUUUCUCAAGAACAAGCGCGUCUUCCCACAGAGCCUAUGAAAACCAGCAAGCAGGUUUAGCAAUGCUGCCCCGUGGUUCCCCAACCCGCAGAUCUUAUUUUAGUCACCAACUGUUUCAGUGACGCCCUGUAUAGCACUGUUCUUCUGAUCCAGGACCCAGCCCACGGUGACACAAGGACUUUGCAGCCCGACUCCGUUUCUCCUUCGAUCUGAACCAGGGCUCAUUCAGUCUCCCUCAGUCUGCGGUGGUCUGAGGAUCUGCAGGACUGGAAGGGGCGCCCUGGGGGCAAGGGUGCUCUCAGGCAUGGAUCUGUGAAUUUCUCAAACAGUGCCCUGCAUGCCCCGUGUGGCAGGCUGACUCUGAGACACCGGAAGCAGACUGUGGCCGACACUGACCCAGUGCUUGCUCUUCCUGCCCAGGAUGAUUUGGGGGCGCUUCUGCUGGACCACAGCAGUUACGAGGCAGCAGUGGCUUCAGGCACCGAGUCAGGUCCUUCAUGCCUCAGGACCCUCCAUGUACCGGAAACGGACCUCAGAGUGGGCUCCCAAGCUGGCACCCAGGUUAAGGCCCGCCCCAGGCCUCACAGCAAUGAGAGGCACAGCCAGGACGGUUGGGCACCAGCGUGUGAGCGCCUGGUCGGCGUUGGACACCGUCGAUCCAUUUAAACCCUCCCACUGGUGAAGGCAGGGUGAGGAGAGCAGGUUUGAGCAGGAGACAUUCCUCAACCAAUCCGGACUCACAGGUGGGCGGGCGCCCCACUCUCAGGACGGGGCUUCCCCUCCAAAGGGAAGGCCUGGGGCAAAGUCGCCUCCAACUGACUUAGAUGCAAACCAGUGUCGUUCCUAACCUGUGGUCUGAAGACGUGAGCCCUGAAUUUGUUGGAACAAGCAGCUCCUGGCCUGAGGCGGGACGGUGUUUUUGCAUGGAGGUGUUUAGGAGAUCUGGUGUUAAGUCACUGAACAGUUCACCCUCCAACUGGUGCAGGGAGCACUAUGGUUUGAAUACAGUUUGUUCCCUCUGAAGCUCAGGUUGAGAUGGGCUUGAGAGAUGGUGGGGCCUUCAAGAGGUGAUUAGGUCACGGAGGGGGACCCAAGCCUUUCUGCCUCAUUUCCCGUUCCAUCUCCCACUCAACUGAAGCAGCACAAGGCCCCUGCCAGAUGCAGCUCCCUGAGUUUGGACUCUGCAGCCUCCUCAACUGUGAGCCAAAGUGAACCUCAUUUCUUUAUUGAUCAUACAGCCCCAUGAAUUCUGUUCCAGCAACACCAAGGGAAUUUAAGAAUUUAACAUGGCAGCACACGCCUGUAAUUCCAGCACUUGGGAGUUCAAGACCAACCUGGGCUACGCUGUGACACCCUGUCUCAAAAAAAUUAAAUAAAAUUAACAAAGAAUUUAAUAAUAUUUGGAAGAAAUUCAAGGGGUAAGUACUAGUAAACCGGGACCCAGAGAGGGUAACCCUGACAGAGUGUCCCCUCAGUAAAUGGCAGGUUGAGGGCUGCCAGAGAGGAAAUUUCUAUUCCCACCCAUUAUUCUGCCCUGCCUUAGAGAGAUCAUGUGUAAUUGUGGCACAAAGUCCCGAAGCUGUAUUUAAAAUUAACCCUCAGAAGGGCCGGGGAUGUAGCUCAGUGGCGCUGUGCCUGCCUGGCAAACACAAGGUCCUGAGUUCGAUCCCCGAUACCAGAAAAAAAAAAAAAUUAACCCUCAGAGAUCAGAGGCAAAAGUCAGCAAAAGCUGUGUUUCCCUGGUUACCCACUCUUCUCCAGCCAGGCUGGGUUCAAAUGCAGCCACACUGGGAUACCCACUCUCAGGUGAGGUGCGUUCCUGGGAAGAAGAGACCUCAGCAGCCAUUUCCCAAGUCCCCUGCACACAAUCCAUCACCUGCCACUCUAGCGGUGGGAGCCUGCACAGAGCAGAGGAGGGGACGCGGAGCUCUUGGGGCUGCAGGGUUAAGAGCAGAUUUAGGCGGCAGUUCCCUCCUCCCACCAGGGGCUGUGCGGCCCAGGGCAAGCGACCCAACCUUGAAGCUUGGUGUCAUUGUUACGUGAUGAAGCAGUGACGGGCUCGGUGGCUGCUGUGAAGAUGGGAACUUAUGGGAUAAUGCAUGAAAACCACAGUGCCAGCCUGAGAAGGCAACAGAGGAAAGCUCACCGGUUGCCAUGCCCAUCUGCCUGCCUGUGACUUCAAGUGACAAUGAUCCCCUUGAGGACAACUCGAAGGAGCAGACAAGGUGGCAGCUUUGUGUCCCCAGCCCCUUACCGGCCAGCGUGGCCUGCCCCGCCUCUACUCUGUUCCACCAUCCAUCCCACUGCAGACUCUCUGGUGUUCCUGGCCACUUUUGGGGCACUGGGAAGAGAUGGCCAAACUUGGUUCCUCCUGCUCCUGGCCCAGUCCCCAGAACCCCAACCCAGGCUCCAGGACCACCGCCUGAAGGGUGAGCAGACUGUCCUGUGGAGAGUGCGACCCAGCUCCCGCAUGGCCCCCGCUCUCAGAGAAGAGAGGAGAAGGGAGCAAAUGAGGCUUCAUGAUCCUUUUGAUGAAUUAGGAGUGUCAGAAAGCCUGUGACUUAAUGGACAUAAUGUGGCCUGCAUUGCUGAGCAUUCCAUCAAGCUGUGGUUUCAGUGACCCGUGGGGGGUGCUUCAAAGGCCCAGGAGAGAGGCCAGGGACAGGUGAGAGGGAGCAGCCUUCGUGCAGGGACCCGGGUGACAUGGAUGCUGACAGGAAGCCUGUGGGCAUCCAGCAAGGAGCCUUGGAGAAGCAGGUCUCUU